ensembl:rRNA 5S_rRNA 5S ribosomal RNA
GUGUAUUGCCAUUACACCCUGAACAUGCCUGAUCUCCUCUGAUGUCAGAAGCUAAGUAGGAUCCAGCCUGGUUAGUAUUUGGAUGGGAGACUACCUAGGAAUUCCAGUUGCUGCUGACU